rnacentral:rRNA from 1 species
UACGAAGGGGGCUAGCGUUGCUCGGAAUGACUGGGCGUAAAGGGCGCGUAGGCGGUUUGCACAGUCAGAUGUGAAAUUCCUGGGCUCAACCUGGGGGCUGCAUUUGAUACGUGUAGACUUGAGUGGGGAAGAGGGUCGUGGAAUUCCCAGUGUAGAGGUGAAAUUCGUAGAUAUUGGGAAGAACACCGGUGGCGAAGGCGGGUCUCUGGGCCGAUACUGACGCUGAGGAGCGAAAGCGUGGGGAGCGAACAGG